CGCAGCGGGAAAUCUGAAAACGGCCGCCACUGCUGUGCGCGCGCUCUCCCCCGAGGCGCCCGGCCUCCUCUGCUUUGGGUGCGCCCUGCCUUUGGCCAGUGCCACGUGCGGUGCUGGGGGGCUGCCCAAGCAGCCUUGGGCCACCUGUUCCCAAGGCGGUGACUGACCAAGGGACCAGACCCGCCUCGCGCAGCCCAGCCGUCUGGUCACUGGCGCUCAAAGCACUCAUGCCCGGAGGGGAAGAAACCCAAGCCGUGUGUGCCCGAGAGCCUGUCGCCUGAGCCCCGCGGAAAAGGAGGCAAGAACGCCGCCCCGCUUAGAGCCCCAGCUCCCCACCCACCAGCUCUUGGCUUCCCAGGUCUCCCUGCUGAGUCUGCCCCUCCACUCCCUGCGGCUGGAGCCCCAGGAGGGAGUGACGGUUGAAGAACACUUAGCAAGGGACUUGCUGGUUACUUCCGUCCCCUCCCCUGCACACCGGAGCCCUGAGAAGCUCUUUGCCGCAUCCCGGCUGCCGGGGCAGCUCUGCGUGUCCCCGCUUUCCGUAUGCUCUGGAGACAUCCCUGCUCCUUCCAGAGCCGUGUGCACGUGCGUGUGCUUGCUCCUGCCUGCUCUCCUCGUCCUCGCCUUGCCCAUCCGAAGGGCCGGGAGGCCAUCGGAACCACGUGCUGAUGACAUUUAAAGGACAUCUUGAAAGUAACACAACAACAAGGGGAUGAAAAUAAGGCACCAAAGAAAAGGACCCCGAUCCUGAAAGACUAAGGCUUCAAGUGACACAGACCCCACGAGCAGGUACAGCCUCCUGUCCGUGCAAGGGGCGCGAGGAGGGCUGUGGGUCACAUUGUGUCCCCCCCACCCCCCAGAAGCUGGAAAGGACAAGGAUGCGCCCUUUAGGGGCCUCAGAGAGAGAGAGAGCGGGGCCCUGCAGACACAGUGACUGUGGGCUUCUGGCCUUCUGCACGGUGCCAGAGGACGUGUCUGUGGUUUUAAGCCCGCCGGUCGGUGCAAUUUUGUUACAGCGGCCAUAGGAAACUGAUACAAUGAGGGAACAACGGAAAUAAACAUCCUCUCUAGAGAUAGCUGUGAAGUGUG
rnacentral:lncRNA from 1 species